GCUCUGGUGGUGGAAUUGGUAGACACGCCAUCUUGAGGGGGUGGUGGGCGUAGCCCGUGCGAGUUCAAGUCUCGCCCAGAGCACCA
rnacentral:tRNA from 1 species